GCCGCGAUUCGCCCUUCGGGGUGCAGCAGGCGCGAAAACUCUACAAUGCAGGCAACUGCGAUAGGGGAACAUCGAGUGAUACUCAUUUUGGGUGUCUGUCCCACCGUCUAUAAAACGGUGGUUAGCAAGGGCCGGGCAAGACCGGUGCCAGCCGCCGCGGUAAUACCGGCGGCUCGAGUGGUGGCCGAUAUUAUUGAGUCUAAAGGGUCCGUAGCCGGCUUUGCAAGUCUUUUGGGAAAUCCAGCGGCUUAACCGUUGGUCGUCCGGGAGAUACUACAUUGCUUGGGACUGGGAGAGGUAAGAGGUACUCAGGGGGUAGGAGUGAAAUCCUGUAAUCCUUUGGGGACCACCGGUGGCGAAGGCGUCUUACCAGAACAGGUCCGACGGUGAGGGACGAAAGCUAGGGGCACGAACCGGAUUAGAUACCCGGGUAGUCCUAGCCGUAAACGAUGCUCGCUAGGUGUCACAACAAUCGUGAAUUGUUGUGGUGCCGUAGGGAAGCCGUGAAGCGAGCCACUUGGGAAGUACGACCGCAAGGUUGAAACUUAAAGGAAUUGGCGGGGGAGCAC
rnacentral:rRNA from 1 species